GAGAUAAUACCUGAUAGAGGAUAAAUACUGGAAGGUUUUAUUCUUCAAAGCUUCGGCACCUGAGGAUGGGACUGCGUCGGAUUAGCUUGUUGUCGGGAUAAUUACCCGACAAGGCGAUAAUCCGUACGGGUUGUGAGAGCAAUAGCCCGGAGAUGGAUUCUGAGACAUGAAUCCAGGUCCUACGGGACGCAGCAGGCGCGAAACCUUCACAAUGCCUGAAAGGGUGAUGAGGGAACUCUGAGUGACUUCGCAAUGCGAAGUCUUUUGCCAAGUGCAAAAAGCUCGGUGAAUAAGUGGUGGGCAAGACAGUUGCCAGCCGCCGCGGUAAUAACUGCGCCACGAGUGGUGAUCUCGUUUAUUGGGCUUAAAGCGUUCGUAGCCGGUUUUAUAAGCAUCUGGUGAAAUCCGAUAGUAAACUAUUGGGCUGGCUAGGUGUACUGUAAGACUAGGGACCGGUAGGGGCCGGGAGUACUCCUAGGGUAGGGGUUAAAUCCUUUAAUCCUAGGGGGACUACCAGUGGCGAAGGCGCCCGGCUAGAACGGGUCCGACGGUGAGGGACGAAAGCUGGGGGAGCGAUCCGGAUUAGAUACCCGGGUAGUCCCAGCUGUAAACGAUGCCCGCUUGGUGUGGUGAAACUUUCGUGGUUU
rnacentral:rRNA from 1 species